GGGGAUUUAGCUCAGUGGUUUCACUGUCUGCCUUGCAAGCACAAGGUCCUGAGUUCGAUCCCAGUACCCCCA
rnacentral:tRNA from 1 species